UACGGAGGAUGCAAGCGUUAUCCGGAUUUAUUGGGUUUAAAGGGUGCGUAGGCGGAAAUCUAAGUCAGCGGUGAAAUCUUGCGGCUUAACCGUAAAAUUGCCAUUGAUACUGGUUUUCUUGAAUGCAGUUGAGGUAGGCGGAAUGUGUAGUGUAGCGGUGAAAUGCUUAGAUAUUACACAGAACACCGAUUGCGAAGGCAGCUUACUAAACUGUGAUUGACGCUGAGGCACGAAAGCGUGGGGAUCGAACAGG
rnacentral:rRNA from 1 species